rfam:Glarea lozoyensis ATCC 20868 chromosome Tnknown GLAREA16, whole genome shotgun sequence.
GGCCUGCUGGCCCAAUGGCAAGGCGCUUGACUACGAAUGACUUCAGCUCUAGGUUAUAAUGUUAUCAAGAGAUUGCAGGUUCGAUCCCUGCGUAGGUCA